rnacentral:tRNA from 1 species
CCGCCUCCAGCUCGGCGAUCAGCCGGCUCACGCUCGGCUGCGAGGUGUUCAUUUCCUCCGCGGCGGCC